rnacentral:rRNA from 3 species
UGCCUGGCAGUUCCCUACUCUCGCAUGGGGAAACCCCACACUACCAUCGGCGCUACGGCGUUUCACUUCUGAGUUCGGCAUGGGGUCAGGUGGGACCACCGCGCUAAGGCCGCCA